rnacentral:rRNA from 1 species
GUAGUCCACGCCCUAAACUAUGUCAACUAGUUGUUGGGUCUUAUUAGACUUGGUAACGAAGCUAACGCGUGAAGUUGACCGCCUGGGGAGUACGGUCGCAAGAUUAAAACUCAAAGGAAUUGACGGGGACCCGCACAAGCGGUGGAUUAUGUGGAUUAAUUCGAUGCAACGCGAAAAACCUUACCUACCCUUGACAUGUUAGAAAAUAUUCAGAGAUGAAUUUGUGCUCGAAAGAGAAUCUAAACACAGGUGCUGCAUGGCUGUCGUCAGCUCGUGUCGUGAGAUGUUGGGUUAAGUCCCGCAACGAGCGCAACCCUUGUCAUUAAUUGCCAGCAUUAAGUUGGGCACUUUAAUGAGACUGCCGGUGAUAAACCGGA